UCGAGAGGCUUUGUCAAUGGGGGAAACCCUGAACAAGCGACGCCGCGUGAGGGAUGAAGGCCCUUGGGUUGUAAACCUCUUUUGUUGGGGAGGAAAUGCGAUCAGGUGAACAAUCUGGUCGUUUGACGGUACCCGACGAAUAAGCUCCGGCUAACUCCGUGCCAGCAGCCGCGGUAAUACGGGGGGAGCAAGCGUUGUUCGGAAUCACUGGGCGUAAAGGGCGUGUAGGCGGUCAGGUAAGUGGAAUGUGAAAUGCCUCGGCUCACCCGAGGACGUGCAUCCCAUACUGCUUGGCUUGAGUACGGGAGAGGAUGGGGGAAUUCCUGGUGUAGCGGUGAAAUGCGUAGAUAUCAGGAGGAACACCUGUGGCGAAGACGCCCAUCUGGCCCGAUACUGACGCUGAGGCGCGAAAGCUAGGGGAGCGAACGGGAUUAGAUACCCGCGUAGUCC
rnacentral:rRNA from 1 species